rnacentral:rRNA from 1 species
UACGGGGGGGGCAAGCGUUGUUCGGAAUUACUGGGCGGUAAAGGGCUCGUUAGGGUCGGCCAACUAAGUCGGACGUGAAAUCCCCAGGCUCAGCCUGGGAACUGCGUCCGGAUACCUGGAUGGCUUGAAUCCGGGAGAGGGAUGCAGAAUUCCAGGUGUAGCGGUGAAAGUGACGUAGAUAUCUGGAGGAAUACCGGUGGCCGAAGGCGGCAUCC